UACGUAGGGUGCAAGCGUUGUCCGGAAUUAUGGGGCGUAAAGAGCUCGUAGGCGGUUUGUCGCGUCUGCUGUGAAAACUCGGGGCUUAACCCCGGGCCUGCAGUGGGUACGGGCAGACUAGAGUGCGGUAGGGGAGACUGGAAUUCCAGGUGUAGCGGUGAAAUGCGUAGAUAUCUGGAGGAACACCGGUGGCGAAGGCGGCAUCCUGGACCGGUAUUGACGCUGAUGCGCGAAAGCCAGGGGAGCAAACGGG
rnacentral:rRNA from 1 species